rnacentral:rRNA from 1 species
CCUACGGGGGGCUGCAGUGGGGAAUAUUGGACAGUGGGCGAAAGCCUGAUCCAGCCAUGCCGCGUGUGUGAAGAAGGCCUUCGGGUUGUAAAGCACUUUCAGUGGGGAAGAAAGCCUUGGGGCUAAUACCCUCGAGGAAGGACAUCACCCACAGAAGAAGCACCGGCUAACUCCGUGCCAGCAGCCGCGGUAAUACGGAGGGUGCGAGCGUUAAUCGGAAUUACUGGGCGUAAAGCGCGCGUAGGCGGUCUGAUAAGCCGGUUGUGAAAGCCCCGGGCUCAACCUGGGAACGGCAUCCGGAACUGUCAGGCUAGAGUGCAGGAGAGGAAGGUAGAAUUCCCGGUGUAGCGGUGAAAUGCGUAGAGAUCGGGAGGAAUACCAGUGGCGAAGGCGGCCUUCUGGACUGACACUGACGCUGAGGUGCGAAAGCGUGGGUAGCAAACAGGAUUAGAUACCCUGGUAGUC